rnacentral:lncRNA from 1 species
UGGAGUCCGUUUUUGGAUGAGUGGAGAUUUUUCCCUAUUUGCAGUGACAGGGAGCGUGGGCAGCGGGCUGGAAGCAUCCCCGAGCCGUCAGGAGGUGCAGAUCCCUGAGAUGCAGGCUGCGCUCCUUGCAGCUCGGGGAUGAGUGAGCUGGGGGCUCGUCCCAUUUGCAGGCUGAGGACAGGGACACACUGCACACAGGAGGUGCUUGGUGACUGCACCACGUGGAUUUGGCUCUGGGGAGGAACGGGGGAAAAGCAGAAAGCAUGGGUUUGCCGUUAUUGGGCACUGCAAUGACCCUAAGCCCAUAACACACCAUUCCCCCAGCUGUAGGGCUGUGUGGUUUGAUGGGAAGCGCUCUCCAUCCCCAUACCAUCAGGGUGCAAGCACCGCUGUCACAAAGGAUAUUUUCUUUGCCUUUCAGCUUUUUAAAUAAAUUUCUCAGGCAGUUUCCAGCAGUUACCUGUUUUAUUGCCAACAUCCCUGGAUAAAGUGAUGGGGAGGAAUCAGAGGAGCACAAUGUAGGCCUUUGUUUGCUAACAGAAAAAUCUCUUUUCUUUCCUUUCUGUAGGUGUCUGGUGCCUGAGGAGGGGCCGCAGUGGGGCAGGCAGCGCAGCUUAAACUCAAACCCAUCAUAGAGCGGAGCAGGGACCUCAUCCAGCAAAGAUUACGGAGGAACUGCACGGGGCGAGACAGCAGCGCUUAAUCCCCCGACUUUUUAAUUUCCAGCCGAGGAGAAUGCAGCCCUCCCCUCCGGCCGCCCUAUAAUGAGACCCAGCACAAGGGCUGCCUGCUGAGCACCACGGGACGAGCACAGCUGCCACCACGAGCAAAGGAUUCACCCCGGGGGCAUCGGGAAUGGCCUCUCCACUGCCCAGGAGCCGCCGCCGUGCAGAGCUGCACGCAGCCGGAGUGUGCGGGGAGCCCAUGUAGGACGGAGCCGUCUGCGGGUGCCAGCCAAGAAAUUCAUAUUUCAUGGGAGGUGGAAGUGAGUCCCGGCAGUAGCGGCGCGGCGGAGGGGUGCCAAGGUCCAGGUUAAAGGAUGCGGCAACACCCCACCGGUGCCCGGCAGCCCACAGCACCCCGUGUCCAUCCCCGCACCCGGCCCCGCAGCACCGUGCCAUGACGGGCAGACAGGAGGCGGCAGCAGGACGGGUGCACGGGGCCGUG